rnacentral:rRNA from 1 species
UACGGGGGGGGCAAGCGUUGUUCGGAAUUACUGGGCGUAAAGGGCUCGUAGGCGGCCAACUAAGUCAGACGUGAAAUCCCUCGGCUUAACCGGGGAACUGCGUCUGAUACUGGAUGGCUAGAGGUUGGGAGAGGGAUGCGGAAUUCCAGGUGUAGCGGUGAAAUGCGCAGAUAUCAGGAGGAACACCGGUGGCGAAGGCGGGUCUCUGGGCCGUAACUGACGCUGAGGAGCGAAAGCAUGGGGAGCGAACAGG